GUGGGGAAUCUUAGACAAUGGGCGCAAGCCUGAUCUAGCCAUGCCGCGUGAGCGAUGAAGGCCUUAGGGUUGUAAAGCUCUUUCGCUGGGGAAGAUAAUGACUGUACCCAGUAAAGAAGCCCCGGCUAACUCCGUGCCAGCAGCCGCGGUAAUACGGAGGGGGCUAGCGUUGUUCGGAAUUACUGGGCGUAAAGCGCGCGUAGGCGGAUUGGAAAGUUGGGGGUGAAAUCCCGGGGCUGAACCUCGGAACUGCCUUCAAAACUCCCAGUCUUGAGUUCGAGAGAGGUGAGUGGAAUUCCGAGUGUAGAGGUGAAAUUCGUAGAUAUUCGGAGGAACACCAGUGGCGAAGGCGGCUCACUGGCUCGAUACUGACGCUGAGGUGCGAAAGCGUGGGGAGCAAACAGGAUUAGAAACCCGUGUAGUCC
rnacentral:rRNA from 1 species